rnacentral:rRNA from 1 species
GAUGAACGCUGGCGGCGUGCCUAAUACAUGCAAGUCGAGCGAACGGACGAGAAGCUUGCUUUUCUGAUGUUAGCGGCGGACGGGUGAGUAACACGUGGAUAACCUACCUAUAAGACUGGGAUAACUUCGGGAAACCGGAGCUAAUACCGGAUAAUAUUUUGAACCGCAUGGUUCAAAAGUGAAAGACGGUCUUGCUGUCACUUAUAGAUGGAUCCGCGCUGCAUUAGCUAGUUGGUAAGGUAACGGCUUACCAAGGCAACGAUGCAUAGCCGACCUGAGAGGGGGAUCGGCCACACUGGAACUGAGACACGGUCCAGACUCCUACGGGAGGCAGCAGUAGGGAACCUUCCGCAAUGGGCGAAAGCCUGACGGAGCAACGCCGCGUGAGUGAUGAAGGUCUUCGGAUCGUAAAACUCUGUUAUUGGGGAAGAACAUAUGUGUAAGUAACUGUGCACAUCUUGACGGUACCUAAUCAGAAAGCCACGGCUAACUACGUG